GUUAAUCGGGUGCAAGAGGCGGCGGGAGUAGAGAGGGUGCAGGGGUGAAUCUGAAUUACGGGGCGUAAAGCGCGCGUAGGUGGUUCGGUAAGUUGGAUGUGAAAUCCCCGGGCGCAACCUGGGAACUGCAUCCAAAACUGGCGAGCUAGAGUAGGGCAGAGGGUGGUGGAAUUUCCGGUGUAGCGGUGAAAUGCGUAGAUAUAGGAAGGAACACCAGUGGCGAAGGCGACCACCUGGGCUCAUACUGACACUGAGGUGCGAAAGCGUGGGGAGCAAACAGGAUUAGAUACCCGGGUAGUC
rnacentral:rRNA from 1 species